AACGAACGCUGGCGGCAUGCCUAACACAUGCAAGUCGAACGAGAUCUUCGGGUCUAGUGGCGCACGGGUGCGUAACGCGUGGGAAUCUGCCCUUUGGUUCGGAAUAACAGUUGGAAACGACUGCCAAUACCGGAUGAUGACGAAAGUCCAAAGAUUUAUCGCCAGAGGAUGAGCCCGCGUAGGAUUAGCUAGUUGGUGUGGUAAAGGCGCACCAAGGCGACGAUCCUUAGCUGGUCUGAGAGGAUGAUCAGCCACACUGGGACUGAGACACGGCCCAGACUCCUACGGGAGGCAGCAGUGGGGAAUAUUGGACAAUGGGCGAAAGCCUGAUCCAGCAAUGCCGCGUGAGUGAUGAAGGCCUUAGGGUUGUAAAGCUCUUUUACCCGGGAUGAUAAUGACAGUACCGGGAGAAUAAGCUCCGGCUAACUCCAUGCCAGCAGCCGCCGUAA
rnacentral:rRNA from 1 species